CCUACGGGAGGCAGCAGUGAGGAAUAUUGGUCAAUGGGCGGAAGCCUGAACCAGCCAAGUCGCGUGAGGGAUUAAGGCCCUGCGGGUCGUAAACCUCUUUUGCCGGGGAGCAGAGGUCCGGACGUGUCCGGGCCGGGAGAGUACCCGUAGAACAAGCAUCGGCUAACUCCGUGCCAGCAGCCGCGGUAAUACGGAGGAUGCGAGCGUUAUCCGGAUUUAUUGGGUUUAAAGGGUGCGCAGGCGGCACGGCAAGCCGGCGGUCAAAUCGCGGGGCUCAACCCCGCCCAGCCGUCGGAACUGCCGGG
rnacentral:rRNA from 1 species